rnacentral:rRNA from 1 species
GACGAACGCUGGCGGCGUGCUUAACACAUGCAAGUCGAACGGUGAAGCGCCUUCCUUUUUGGUGGGUGUGGAUGAGUGGCGAACGGGUGAGUAACACGUGAGUAACCUGCCCCCUUCUUCUGGAUAACCGCAUGAAAGUGUGGCUAAUACGGGAUAUUCUGGGUCUGUCGCAUGAUGGGUCUGGGAAAGAUAUUGUUUCGGUGGGGGAUGGGCUCGCGGCCUAUCAGCUUGUUGGUGGGGUGAUGGCCUACCAAGGCGGUGACGGGUAGCCGGCCUGAGAGGGUGGACGGUCACACUGGGGCUGCGACACGGCCCAGACUCCUACGGGAGGCAGCAGUGGGGAAUAUUGCACAAUGGGCGCAAGCCUGAUGCAGCGACGCCGCGUGAGGGAUGGAGGCCUUCGGGUUGUGAACCUCUUUCGCCAGUGAAGCAGGCCUGCCUCGUUUGUGGGUGGGUUGACGGUAGCUGGAUAAGAAGCGCCGGCUAACUACGUG